GGUAAAAUUUCAGUUUUGUAUAUAAUUGAUUAUAGUGCUGAUCUUCGUUUUUUGACAAUGGAUUUUAGGGUUGUUUCGGAGAAACUGUAGCAUGCACAACAUACAAUUGUGGAGGUUCUCUUCCUGGGAUUGCAUGGGAGAAGUUGUAGCAUGCACAACAUAUAAUCUUGGAGGUUCUCUUCCUGGGAUUGCAUGGGAGAAACUGUAGCAUGCACAGCAUACAAUUUUAGGAAUUAUCUUCUUGGGGUUGUAUGGAAAAAAGCUGUAACAUGCACAACAUAUAAUUUUGGAGGUUCUUUUCUUGGGGUUGCAUAGGAGAAACUGUAGAAGGCAAAACAUAUAAUUUUGGAGGUUCUUUUCCUGGUUAAGUACAAAUAUUUGCUAGCUUGGUUGACAUAACCGGUCACCAUCUAAUGAGUUUCUCGGAGUUUAGUCCCAGGUCUUAUGGAUGCCCAUGGUCUAAAUUUUUUUAAUUAACAGGCAAGGGAAAGUCCCUCUGUUUUUCAGCCUUACAGCGGAUCAGUAACCAUUACAACGAGUGAAGGUUAUAAUUUAGCUUCUCCGGACUCAAUUAAAGAAAAUCAUAUAAGCCAAGGAAUCAAGAAAGAGUCACUGCUUCGACAUUGGUUACUUCCAUCGAAAUAUAAUCAAAGAAGUGGUAGAUGUGGGUCUUAUUAAAGAUUUUGCGAUGAAUCGGGUCUCCUCUGAUCAGUUUUAAAAUCUCUUGUUAUUGACAGCAUGACUGUUGCAAAAACAGCAUCCAGACCUGGACAAUUGCAAUAAACAGAAAUUAGCAUUUCUCAAUAGCAGAGAGGGGCUGUGGAGGCUCAACCGACAUACACUAGGAGGAGACAGUUGAGUCGCAGUGAACAUCCAUCUAUCAAUUCGCUCUUAAGGCGGAUUAUGUUGGUUGGGGGACAAUUGGAAGAUGUGGAUUUUGGAUGCACUAGAUCAUUCAUUCAGUUGAUUAAGGCGAGGAGAACGGUGUUGACGGAAGAUUAUCAAGUCCUCCCAGUCUCUGACAUCAUGAUGUUCAAGCUGGCAUUUAUGCUUUAAUAAUUUAAUACCAUAAAUUUCACUGCAUUAUAGCUCACCUCUUUUUCGCGCGGAUGGAUGACAGAAUUAUCAUAAAAAUUAUGAUGAGCUAUUUAAUGCAGCUAUUAAAAUUUUACAAUAUUGUUCCUGAAGAGAACUGGAACAAUUUAUGUUAUGGUAAUGAGAUCCCAUAAUUUGAAGAGUCGAUUGUAAUUGUUUCUAAAUUUAAAUAUCGUAUCCAAAGUACAAUUAUAAUUAUUGUUAA